rnacentral:rRNA from 1 species
AGAGUUUGAUCAUGGCUCAUGACUAACGCUGGCGGCAGGCUUAACACAUGCAAGUCGAACGAACUCUUCGGAGUGAGUGGCAGACGGGUGCGUAACACGUGGGAACCUACCUUAAGGUACGGAACAACACCGAGAAAUUGGUGCUAAUACCGUAUGUGCCCUUCGGGGGAAAGAUUUAUCGCCUUAAGAUGGGCCCGCGGCAGAUUAGAUUGUUGGUGAGGUAACGGCUCACCAAGUCCGCGAUCUGUAGCUGGUCUGAGAGGAUGAUCAGCCACACUGGAACUGAGACACGGUCCAGACUCCUACGGGAGGCAGCAGUGGGGAAUAUUGGGCAAUGGGCGAAAGCCUGACCCAGCCAUGCCGCGUGAGUGAUGAAGGCCUUAGGGUUGUAAAACUCUUUCGCUAGUGAAGAUAAUGACGGUAACUAGUAAAGAAGCCCCGGCUAAUUUCGUGCCAGCAGCCGCGGUAAUACGAAAGGGGCUAGCGUUGUUCGGAAUUACUGGGCGUAAAGCGCGCGUAGGCGGACUACCAAGUUGGGGGUGAAAUCCCAGGGCUCAACCCUGGAACUGCCUCCAAAACUGUUAGUCUAGAGGAUGUGAGAGGAUAGUGGAAUUCCGAGUGUAGAGGUGAAAUUCGUAGAUAUUCGGAAGAACACC